ACUAUUACUUGCUUCCUUUAUCUUUUUGUUCAUAGUUUCCAGAGUGAUUUUUAUGUCUUUAAGAAAAAUUAAGUGAUGGAUCUGGCCUAUCAAGUAGCAUUGAGACCUCAAGACCAAAAUUUCUGAAGCUUUUUCAAGUUCUACAGCGAUGGGAUUUUUAUGAAUGAAGUAAGGAGCAGACACAAGAGGUCUUCAAGGAGAACACUUCAGCCUGUCCUGGAGACUCAAAGGAAGAGUGACCAAAUGGGAAUGUUCCUGAAAAAUUACACAGGGGGCACGAUGCAUUUGCUUACAUGUCCACCAUAGAAAAUUCACCCAAAUCAACAUGUCUCUAGAACUUAUAAACCUGGAACCAAACACCUGUCUCAAUAAGGUGUUGCUUUUUCAACUGAAACUUGACAUCACUUCUGAAAUGGCAUGUGUGACCAUAGAUGGUAUUCAAGUCAUUGAAGGUAUUCAAUCAUCAUUGAAGGUAUUCAAUCAUCAUUGAAGGUAUUCAAUCAUCAUUGAAGGUAAUGGGCACUUUGGCCUGCAGCAUCUGCCCUUUGGGACUGAAAACCUUUUCAGGCUUUUCUCUAAUCCUGCUCAGAUGCAGGAAUAUACUAUGAGAAUCCAAC
rnacentral:lncRNA from 1 species